GGUUGCAUGGCGGGGGCCGGGCCUGUAUCCCUCUUUAAUAGUCGGGUGCCGACAAUGUACAGCUUGUUUCCUCUGAACAUGCUAAUUAUAAAGGGAUUGGAUUAAUCGGGUUAGUCAAGCAUUUGCAUAGCUGACUAGAUGGGAAGAAAUAACCUCCCGAUCCAUGUGACAGGUGUCUGUCCUUUUCCUUGAACGUUUUGUUUGCACUGGAACAGUUCUGCAGAAAUUGGGACAUGGUAUAUGCCUUAUGGAAAGGACGAUGUCGUGUGUCGGUACCCCUGCUGACCUCCGCAGCUGACCUCCGCGGCGGAUCGGCUCGUCGCCGGCUGUACCCGGGGCCAUGACCUCACCCCGGACGCAGGUCGGCCUCCUGCUGUGGAAGAACCUCACCAUCCGCAGACGGAAGCCGGCGCUGCUGGUGACGGAGCUGGUGCUGCCGCUGCUGCUG